AAUCUGUGAUGUAGGCACUUCUGAAUUAAUGUUUUGAAACCCUCUCAUGCUUCGUGACGACUUUCUCUUUUUAACUGCUUAAACAUCAAAAUUUCCUUUCUUAACU
rnacentral:snoRNA from 1 species